rnacentral:misc_RNA from 1 species
CCAAACUUGGUCAUUUAGAGGAAGUAAAAGUCGUAACAAGGUUUCCGUAGGUGAACCUGCGGAAGGAUCAUUAUUGAAUAAACUUGGUGGGUUGUAGCUGGCUUCUUGAAGCAUGUGCACGCCUAUCAUAUUUAUCUAUCAUCCACCUGUGCACUUUUUGUAGUCUUGUGAAGUUAGAACAGCAUAACCUCGAUAAGGUGCAUAACCUAUUCGGAUGUGGGGACUGUUGCGUGAAAGCGCGCCUUUCUCUAAAUAUGCCUGAGUCUACUUCUUAGAUUAUGUCUUUUCAUAUACCAUGUAGUAUGUUGAAGAAUGUAUCAAUUGGGACUUUGUGCCUAUAAAAUCAAUACAACUUUCAGCAACGGAUCUCUUGGCUCUCGCAUCGAUGAAGAACGCAGC